rnacentral:lncRNA from 1 species
UUUUUCUUCUGCUCUUACUUUCCUUUCUUUUCUUUCCCUCUUCUUCCGUUUAUGUUACCUUUUCACUAAAAUGCAAAUUCCAUUUUUUAUACUCUCUCACCCGCUCUCUCUAUAGCGGACUUCCUUUCCCCGUCGGUCACCACAAUAACCCAGCUUUCUCUCUUUUUGUUUGCCUAAACUAGAUCUCCUCACUGUUGCCCAAAGAACCCAAGCUCUCACUUCCUCUACCAGCUCUAAAAGAUCAAACCUUUUUCCUUCUAGAAAAUACCCAAACUGGAACUAAAAAAAAAUUCAAACUCUUACCACUCCCAUUUUGUAAUAUAUAUUUUCUGUGUUUCCUUUCUUCCAUGGCUUUUCUCCUUGGUUUUGGUCGGCAUUCUCAUACCAACACCAG